AGAGAAUGGAGAUUACCAACAAAUCAUAUAUGGCUGUUCUCAACAAGGAAAUCAGUUACUUCCUUCUUUGCUGCGUUUGAUGCACUCUGUGAGGAAGGUACAGCAACCUCCGUUUGCCAGGCUCUUGCUGAAGUUGCUGACAUUUCUGUACCUGGAUCAAAAGACCAUAUAAAAGUGCAGGGUGAAAUUUUGGAGGGCCUCGUAGCACGCAUUGUAAAACGUGAGAGCUCAGAGCAUAUGGAGCGGGUUCUGAGAGAUUUUCCUGCUCCUCCAUUAGAGGGUGAGGGUUUGGACUUGGGACCUACGCUGCGUGAGGUUU
rnacentral:misc_RNA from 1 species